GCUGUGUUUCCACAUUGGGCAAUCUUCAUAUUGUCAAUGAUUCUGCCUGCAGUUGGGCCGUUGUCGCACUUGAAAUUGGAUUUCAUUUUUCUCCAAGUGCGUUCUUUCGCACAAACUUGUCAAACUUGAAUUUGACAACCCGCCUUCGUUUAUUUUCUCCCAGUUUUAAAGAAAUAGACUGGACGCCCUAAGUGAGAGUUUCGAUGCCCCUCAGCAAUGAUUGAAAUCUUAUGAAAGGAAUCUAAUGACAUAACUUUUGCCAUGCUCCUUAAUUUGCAAUAAUCCCAAUAAUGUAAUAAUAUUCAGGAGGCUAGACAAUGUUUUUUUUCUGAAAGAUUACCCACAACUUAAUUGCCAUUGCUGUGAAAUGUUAAUUAUCAAUUGCUAAUACUCCCCUGUACAAUGUUUCAUUCUUAAAUUUAGGCUUAAAAGAAAUAUGUUGAAAUUUAAGAUAUUUGUACUCAAGCACAUGCAUUGACGUUAGACUUUUGGAUUUUAUUUGUUUUCAUUUCAUUGAUUUAUUGAUUGAUUUUUUUUCUUACUGAGAACUUCAUUGUUUAAGUCAAUAUUAAAUCUUAUAUUCUUAAUUUGUCAUUAUUUUGGUUAAUGCCAGGGAGGUCACUUGUGCGUUUCCUGGUCCCGGAGGACAAGUACAAGUCUUGGAAUGGCGGGAGGUUGUUCACGUGUUUCGCUUUGCUGUCUUGUGAAGAAGAGGAGGACAGGAAGAAGGCGGUGGCCAUCGCUGUGCAGUCGCUGGUCCUGGCUCUGGUGGCGAUAGCGGCGGCGUUUGGCGUGUUCUUCGCCAAGCGGCCCAAAAGCCAACACGGUGAACGACGACACAAACGUUUGCUCCGUAUGUGGCGAUUCCUAAUCGCCUCUCGCUUCGCUUCCAUUUCAGCCAAUUACGCUCCAGCUUCCAAUGCCUCAUCUUCUGAGCCGGACUGAAUGAACCCGACUAAGGUUGAAAGGGAUGUCUUCUUCUUUUGGUGCCACACUUGAAUGGCGUUGAAAGUUUUGCCCUCAAUUGAGCGGCUUUUUCCGCUAUGCUCGUUUUGGACACUUGGGGGCAGUGUGAUGCAAACCAAUAAUCUCACAACUCGGGCAGGCAGCUGCAGUAAUGUUAUCUCAUUUUGACCCCCCAAAAAAUGAACAUAUGCUUCUCCAGCUUUUGCUAGCUUGCUACAUUAUUUGUGUUUAAAUACGUGUUCAGAAUCAUUCGUUAGCAUUGUUUGUUAGCAUUAAACUACACAGACUUGGGCAAAAUGUGGUUGUUUUGAAUACACAAA